ACAAGAUACGGCCUUAUACGUCGUAUAAUUGGAAUGAGUACAAUUUAAAUCCCUUAACGAGGAACAAUUGGAGGGCAAGUCUGGUGCCAGCAGCCGCGGUAAUUCCAGCUCCAAUAGCGUAUAUUAAAGUUGUUGCAGUUAAAAAGCUCGUAGUUGGACCUUGGACCUGGACAGGCGGUCCGCCUCACGGCGAGUACUGUCUUGCUGGGUCUUUCCUCUUGGUGAUCUGUUGUUUCGGCAGCAGGGAACCAGGACCUUUACUUUGAAAAAAUUAGAGUGUUCAAAGCAGGCUCGACGCCGGAAUAUAUUAGCAUGGAAUAAUAAAAUAGGACGUGCGGUUCUAUUUUGUUGGUUUUUGGAAUCGCCGUAAUGAUUAAUAGGGACAGUCGGGGGCAUUAGUACUCACAUGCUAGAGGUGAAAUUCUUGGAUUUUGUGAAGACUAACUUCUGCGAAAGCAUUUGCCAAGGAUGUUUUCAUUAAUCAAGAACGAAGGUUAGGGUAUCGAAAACGAUUAGAUGCCGUUGUAGUCUUAACAGUAAACUAUGCCGACUAGGGAUCGGUCGAUGUUAUCUUUUUGACUCGAUCGGCACCUUACGAGAAAUCAAAGUUUUUGGGUUCUGGGGGGAGUAUGGUCGCAAGGCUGAAACUUAAAGAAAUUGACGGAAGGGCACCACCAGGAGUGGAGCCUGCGGCUUAAUUUGAUUUCAACACGGGAAACUCACCAGGUCCAGACAUAG
rnacentral:rRNA from 1 species